GGACUGUAGGCUUUUUCUCAUUACUAUUCAUGUGGUUUCUUGGGAAAAGUUUACUGGAUUAAAGUUAAAAUUCUUAAACUGUUCUGCUUUCUUCUGUAGAAUUACUGUAACUGCAUGCGCUGCUCAUUGUUUCCUGAGAUAACAGCCUACCUUCUGUGAUCUAGAUCUAGAUCAAAACCUGCACUUGACUCAGGUUUAUGGCAAAAAUAAGCUUAAGAAAAAUGGUACCAAACUACUUUAACAAGAAAUCAAGAUUUUACUGGGAGUAUGAUAACAGUGAAACUAUAUGACAUGUGUGGUUUUGGUCUUUUUUUCCCAGUAAUGAACUUCUCCUAAUGUGCUUAUUUCUUUUGAGCAAUUAGAGCUUGCAUGGGACAGCUGGUGAAAUGAAGUAAGAAUUAAAGGCAUUCUGUUCAUCUUUGGUUUGCUCUAACAGCAGAACAACCGACCCUGCAGCUCUUUAGGUUUUCAUGUACAUUAUUUUCUUUAUAGUUUCUUUAUCUCUUACUUUUCUGGUCUUUACCCUGCCCAGGGAAAGUAAAUGAAUGACAAAAUAGGAAUUAUGUCUUGGCACUUAAAGCACUUUCUUUUAUACGAGUAAUGAACAUUAAAAAGGACACAGCACUGUCAUCCUCAUCAUAUAGACAGAAGAGCUGCAAAGGAAAAGGUUUAAGUUACCUGCUUGAAGGCACAAAGAAUGUCCACCACAUGAGUAGAAGGCAACCACCUACAUGUCCUACAUCUCCUAGUCAGCGUGGUUCUGAAACAGAAAUAAAUGGUAUGAGCAAGACAUAAUGGAUUUCAUUUUCAGUAUGGAUCCACAAAGUCAAAACAUUAGGUAGAAUGUUCUGCAGAUUUUUGGAAUUAUACAACAUGCUUUUGCCAUUUUUAAUUAUUAGAUGUAUGAUGUACUACUGCAAUAUUUCCUCUAUUUAUUUCAAAUAUAUUUCAGAAAAUAAGGAAUCUUAGUCAUUUUUAAUGCAUAUUUCUUUUUAGGAUGAUACUUGUAAUUUGUCCUUGGAGUGCUGUUGAAUUCAUUACCAAGCAAAACCUACUGGUGCGGAGCUCUGCAUUGCCCAUGCUUACUAGAUGGUCUGAGGAACUCAUUAUGCAUGUGUAUUUAUUUAUGAUAAAUAAGAAAAGCUAAAUCUAGGUUAACAUUAUUUAUCAAAAAAAAAAAAUCACUUAAAAAUUCUCUAUCUUAAAAGAGAAAGGAUAGUCCACAAAAAUUGUGUAUAGUUACAAUAGUGUAAUAAACUUUCCUGAAUAUCAAGUAUCUACUGAAUU
rnacentral:lncRNA from 1 species